CGACUACGAGUUUGAUCCUGGCUCAGAUUGAACGCUGGCGGCAGGCUUAACACAUGCAAGUCGAGCGGUAGAGACCUUCGGGUCUUGAGAGCGGCGGACGGGUGAGUAAUACAUAGGAAUCUGCCUGGUAGUGGGGGAGUAGCCCGGGGAAACCCGGAUUAAUACCGCAUACGCCCAUGGGGGAAAGGAGGGGAUCUUCGGACCUUUCGCUAUCAGAUGAGCCUAUGUCGGAUUAGCUAGUUGGUGAGGUAAGGGCUCACCAAGGCGACGAUCCGUAACUGGUCUGAGAGGAUGAUCAGUCACACUGGAACUGAGACACGGUCCAGACUCCUACGGGAGGCAGCAGUGGGGAAUAUUGGACAAUGGGGGAAACCCUGAUCCAGCCAUGCCGCGUGUGCGAUGAAGGCUUUCGGGUUGUAAAGCACUUUCAGUCGGGAGGAAAGGGUGCAGGCUAAUAUCCUGUGCAGUUGACGUUACCGACAGAAGAAGCACCGGCAAACUCCGUG
rnacentral:rRNA from 1 species